UUCCAGACUCCUACGGGAGGCAGCAGUGAGGAAUAUUGGUCAAUGGACGAGAGUCUGAACCAGCCAAGUAGCGUGAAGGAUGACUGCCCUAUGGGUUGUAAACUUCUUUUAUAAAGGAAUAAAGUGAGGCACGUGUGCCUUUUUGUAUGUAUUUUAUGAAUAAGGAUCGGCUAACUCCGUGCCAGCAGCCGCGGUAAUACGGAGGAUCCGAGCGUUAUCCGGAUUUAUUGGGUUUAAAGGGAGCGUAGAUGGGUUGUUAAGUCAGUUGUGAAAGUUUGCGGCUCAACCGUAAAAUUGCAGUUGAAACUGGCAGUCUUGAGUACAGUAGAGGUGGGCGGAAUUCGUGGUGUAGCGGUGAAAUGCAUAGAUAUCGCGCAGAACUCCGAUUGCGAAGGCAGCGUACCGGCGCCAGACUGACGCUGAGGCGCGAAAGCGUGGGGAUCGAACAGGAUUAGAUACCCCGGUA
rnacentral:rRNA from 1 species